CAACCUCAGAUCAGACAUGGUGACCUGCCGAAUUUAAGAAUAUUACUAAAAGGAGGAAAAGAAACUAUCCAGGAUUCCCUCAGUAACAGCGAGUGAAGAGGGAAUAGCCCAGCACCGAAUCCCUGCCUGAGAGAUGGAUGCAGGGAAAUGUGGCGUAUGGAAGUCUGUCUCCCCAGUGCCGCCCAGGGGGCCCAAGUCCUUGUGAUUGAGACUCAGCCUGUGGAUGAUGUGAGGCCAGUGGCAGCCCCCAGCACAUCGGGAUCAGGUCUUCCCAGAGUCGGGUUGUUCGUGAAUGCAGCCCAAAGUGGGUGGUAAACUCCAUCUAAGGCUAAAUACCGGUAUGAGACCAAUAAUGGACAAGUACCAUAAGGGAAAGUUGAAAAGAACUUUGAAGAGAGAGUUCAAGAGGGCGUGAAACCGUUCAGAGUUAAAAGGGUGGGGUCUGCGUGGUCCACCUGGAGGAUUCAGCAUGGUAGCAGAGCCGGCUGCCUGGGUGAGGUGGAUCCUCCUCUGGGGGGGGGCCAUCCCAGGCAUGCUGGUCACCAUCGGGAGCAUUUCCUCCCUGGUGGUGCACUGCAACAAGCUCCGGGUCAGCCGGGAAGGCUGUGCAGAAGCUGGCUCCCCUUGUUACAGCCAGCAGCAUCAGCCCUCGCCAUGCCCUGGGGUCAUGGGAGAUGACCGCCACCACACCCAUGCCUGCCCUUGUGGUGGGGGCUGGGGUCCCCAGCUCCUGGUGGGACUGUCGACUGGCUGGUCUGCCCUCAGUGUGGCCUGACCACAUGCUGCUGCUGGGCCGGCAGGCUCACCUUGGGUGCUCAGGGUCUGCGGUGACAUCAGUGACCCAUCCAUCCCAUCUUGAAACAUGGACCAAGGAGUCUAACAGGUGCGUGACUCCGAGGGUGGGCAGGAGACCCCAUGGCACAAUGAAAGUGAGGGCCGUCAUGCGUCGGCUAAGGUGGCCCAUCUCACUCAUCCCAUCGAGGAGGUGGAACAUGAGAGCAUCUGGUGGGACCUGAAAGAUGGUGAACUAUGCAUGGGCAGAGCAAAGCUAGGGGAAACUCUGGUGGAGGUCUGUAGGGGUCCUGAUGUGCAAAUCGGUCAUCCGACCUGGGUAUAGGGUGAAAGACUAAUUGAACCAUCUAGUAGCUAGUUCCCUCCAAAGUUUCCCUCAUGAUAGCUGGCGCUCGGCGGACAAAGUUUUAUCUGGUAAAGCAAAUGAUUAGAGGUCUUGGGACCAAAACAAUCUCAACCUAUUCUCAAACUUUAUAUCGGUAAGAAGCCCGACUCUCUGGCUUGGAGCCGGGCGUGGAAUGUGAGCACCCAGUGGACCACUUUUGGCUAGCAGAACUGGCUCUGCAGGAUAAACUGAUUGACGGGUUAAGGCGCUUGAUCCUGACACUCAUCAUGCCCCAGAAAAGGUGUUGGUUGAUAUAGACAGCAGGACGGUGGCCAUGGAAUUCAGAAUCAGCUAAGGCGUGUGUAACAACUUACCUGCCGAAUCAACUAGCCCUGAAAAUGGAUGGCGCUGGAAUGUCACGCUCAUACCCAGCUGUCACUGGUGCUGGGAGCUGAGGGGGUUAUGCUGCAACGAGUAGUAGGGCCACCUCAGUGGCACUGAAGCCCAGGUCGAGGGCCUGGGUGGAGCCACCAUGGGUGCAGAUCUUGGUGAUAGUAGCAAAUAUUCAAAUGAGAGCUUUGAAGGCCGAAGUGGAGAAGGGUUCCAUGUGAACAGCAGUUGAACAUGGGUCAGUCGGUCCUGAGAGAUACGUGAGCUCUGUUCCUAAGGGAUGGGUGAAGGCCUUCAUCACCCUUGGCCAAUCAAAAGGGAAUAGGGUUCAGAUCCCCGAAUCUGGAGUGGCGGAGAUGGGUGCCUCAUGGCAUCCAAUCCCGUGAUGCAAAUGAUCCCAGAGAAGCUGGCAGGAGCCCCUGGGAGAGUUCUCUUUUCUUUGUAAAGUGCAAGGGCACCCUGGAAUGGGUUCACCUUGAGAGAGGGGCCUGCGCCCUGGAAUGCGUUGCAGUUCCAGCAGCGUCAGGUGAGCUCUUGCUGGCCCUUAAAAAUCCAGAGGAGAGGGUGUAAGUCUCGCGCCGGGCCAUACCCAUAUCCACAGCAGGUCACCAAGGUGAACAACCUCUGGCAUGUUAGAACAAUAUAGGUAAGGAAAGUCGGCAAGCCAGAUCCGUAACAUCAGGAUAAGGAUUGGCUCUAAGAGCUGGGUUGGUUGGGCUUAGGCAUGAAGAGGGGCUGGGUGAGCACGGCGGCUGGAUGAGGCAUCACCCCCUUGCCAUGCUCCCCCCUCCCAGGGUGGCCGGGGGGCAGUGGCGGUGACUCUGAAUGCAUGCUGGGCCCUUCCUGUCGAUCACCCUGGCUGUGGCAGGUGCUGGUCCCGACUGGCAUCUGCAUCAUCCGGCAGCUAGCAGCUGACUUAGAACUGGUGAAGACCAGGGGAAUCCAACUGUUUAAUUAAAACAAAGCAUUGCAAAAUGCUCUGAAUGUCAAACU